rnacentral:rRNA from 1 species
GACGAACGCUGGCGGCGUGCUUAACACAUGCAAGUCGAACGAUGAAGAAGAGAAACGCGAACUUCGGUUCAAAUUUCACUUCGGAUUAGUGGCAGACGGGUGAGUAACGCGUGAGCAACCUACCUCUUACAAAGGGAUAGCCUCGGGAAACCGUGAUUAAUACCAUAUGACACAUUCAUAAGGCAUCUUAAGAAUGUUAAAGCUACGGCGGUAAGAGAUGGGCCCGCGUCCCAUUAGCUAGUUGGUGAGGUAACGGCCCACCAAGGCGACGAUGGGUAACCGGCCUGAGAGGGUGAACGGUCACAUUGGAACUGAGGCACGGUCCAAACUCCUACGGGAAGCAGCAGUGGGGAAUAUUGCACAAUGGAGGGAACUCUGAUGCAGCGACGCCGCGUGAGCGAUGAAGGAAUUCGUUUCGUAAAGCUCUGUUCUAUGGGAAGAAAAGGACUGUACCAUAGGAGAAAGCCCCGGCUAAAUACGUG